AGGGAGACUAGUGAACAGGGAGUUAGGCAGGUUAGGAGGUGUCUGUCCAGGGAGACUAGUGAACAGGGAGUUAGGCAGGUUAGGAGGUGUCUGUCCAGGGAGACUAGUGAACAGGGAGUUAGGCAGGUUAGGAGGUGUCUGUCCAGGGAGACUAGUGAACAGGGAGUUAGGCAGGGUAGGAGGUGUCUGUCCAGGGAGACUAGUGAACAGGGAGUUAGGCAGGUUAGGAGGUGUCUGUCCAGGGAGACUAGUGAGCAGGGAGUUAGGCAGGUUAGGAGGUGUCUGUCCAGGGAGACUAGUGAACAGGGAGUUAGGCAGGUUAGGAGGUGUCUGUCCAGGGAGACUAGUGAGCAGGGAGUUAGGCAGGUUAGGAGGUGUCUGUCCAGGGAGACUAGUGAACAGGGAGUUAGGCAGGUUAGGAGGUGUCUGUCCAGGGAGACUAGUGAACAGGGAGUUAGGCGGGUUAGGAGGUGUCUGUCCAGGGAGACUAUCACUGGUGUUUGCCAAGUCCUUUUCAAGAGAGGCAGGAGCCUUUUGAAGCUGCAGAGAUUAGAGGCUUUUCUGAACACCUGGGGAGUCCUCUUAGCACAGCUCAGCCUAAUCCAGCCCGGUUCCUAUUGGAACACAGUAAUGGACUCAGCCCUCAGCAACGCUAACCCAUUAGCUACCUCCUAUUGUCUCUGGGAUCUCGAAUGAGGGACGCUUCUAAUUCAAUGAAUCUGCAUGUCAUUCUAUCAGACAGCAGUCCCGAGUCUCAAGGAGAGAGGGAGAGAGGGAGAGAUGGAGAGAGGGAGAGAGGGAGAGAAGGAGAGAAGGAGAGAAGGAGAGAGGGAGAGAUGGAGAGAAGGAGAGAAGGAGA